AGCAGCAGCCGCGGUAAUACGUAGGGUGCAAGCGUUAAUCGGAUUUACUGGGCGUAAAGCGUGCGUAGGCGGCUUUUUAAGUCGGAUGUGAAAUCCCUGAGCUUAACUUAGGAAUUGCAUUCGAUACUGGGAAGCUAGAGUAUGGGAGAGGAUGGUAGAAUUCCAGGUGUAGCGGUGAAAUGCGUAGAGAUCUGGAGGAAUACCGAUGGCGAAGGCAGCCAUCUGGCCUAAUACUGACGCUGAGGUACGAAAGCAUGGGGAGCAAACAGGAUUAGAUACCCGUGUAGUCCCUGUCUCUUAUAC
rnacentral:rRNA from 1 species